rnacentral:rRNA from 1 species
CCGGAUCAGCGUAUCGGAUCUUGGGUUUAAGGGUGCGUAGGCGGAGUACUAAGUCAGCGAUGAAAUCCUGCAGCUUAACUGUAGAACUGUCAUUGAUACUGGUAUUCUUGAAUGCAGUUGAGUGUAGGCGGAAUGUGUAAUGUAGCGGUGAAAUGCUUAGAUAUUACACAGAACACCGAUUGCGAAGGCAGCUUACUAAACUGUGAUUGACGCUGAGGCACGAAAGCGUGGGGAGCAAACAGGAUUAGAUACCCUGGUAGUCCACGCCGUAAACUAUGAUUACUCGCUGUUGGCGAUACAUUGUCAGCGGCUGAGCGAAAGCAUUAAGUAAUCCACCUGGGGAGUACGAUCGCAAGGUUGAAACUCAAAGGAAUUGACGGGGGCCCGCACAAGCGGAGGAACAUGUGGUUUAAUUCGAUGAUACCGCCGAGGAACCUUACCUGGGCUUAAAUGUAGACGCGACAAGACUGGGAAAACUGGUCCUUCUUCGGACGAUCUACAAGGUGCUGCAUGGUUGUCGUCAGCUCGUGCCGUGAGGUGUCGGGUUAAGUCCCAUAACGAGCGCAACCCUUAUCGUUAGUUGCCAGCGGGUAAUGCCGGGGACUCUAGCAGAAACUGCCGGUGUAAACCGUGAGGAAGGUGGGGAUGACGUCAAAUCAGCACGGCCCUUAUGUCCAGGGCGACACACGUGUUACAAUGGCCGGUACAGAGGGCAGCUACCUGGUAACAGGAUGCAAAUCUCCAAAACCGGUCUCAGUUCGGAUCGAAGUCUGCAACUCGACUUCGUGAAGCUGGAUUCGCUAGUAAUCGCGCAUCAGCCAUGGCGCGGUGAAUACGUUCCCGGGCCUUGUACACACCGCCCGUCAAACCAUGGAAGACCGGGGGUACCUGAAGUCCGUAACCGACAGGAGCGGCCUAAGUAAAUGUACUGG